AAACGCUGGCGGCGUGCCUAACACAUGCAAGUCGAACGAAGCACUGUGGAAAGAGACUUCGGUCAAUUGAAACUUGACGUUAGUGGCGGACGGGUGAGUAACGCGUGAGCAACCUGCCUCUGAGUGUGGAAUAAUGUACUGAAAAGGACACUAAUACCGCAUGACAUAUACGGACCGCAUGAUCUGUAUAUCAAAGAUUUAUCGCUUAGAGAUGGGCUCGCGUCCGAUUAGCCGGUUGGUGGGGUAACGGCCCACCCAAAGCUACGAUCGGUAGCCGGACUGAGAGGUUGAACGGCCACAUUGGGACUGAGACACGGCCCAGACUCCUACGGGAGGCAGCAGUGGGGGAUAUUGCGCAAUGGGGGAAACCCUGAACCGCAGCAAUGCCGCGUGAAGGAUGAAGGUCUUCGGAUUGUAAACUUCUUUUGUCGGGGAUGAUAAUGACGGUACCCGACGAAUAAGCUCCGGCUAACUACGUGCCAGCCGCGGC
rnacentral:rRNA from 1 species